CACGGGGGGAGCAAGCGUUGUUCGGAAUCACUGGGCGUAAAGGGCGUGUAGGCGGUCAGGUAAGUGAGACGUGAAAUGCUCCGGCUUACCCGGGGACCUGCGUCUCAUACUGCUUGGCUUGAGUACGGGAGAGGGUGUGGGAAUUCCUGGUGUAGCGGUGAAAUGCGUAGAUAUCAGGAGGAACACCGGUGGCGAAGGCGCACACCUGGCCCGAUACUGACGCUGAGGCGCGAAAGCUAGGGGAGCAAACGGG
rnacentral:rRNA from 1 species